rnacentral:rRNA from 1 species
UGCAUUGUAUAAUGUACAAGAUAUAGUCCAAGAGUGAAACAAUGUGAUGGAUGAGGAAGUAGAAAUUUAUCUACCACUUCGUCUCUUGAAGCUGCAGUUUUCCGGUGUCUUUUUUACCCUAAAGGGAAGAAAAGAGUGCCUGAUAACAUUCAAGAAGUAUUGAAAAAUCCAUUAAGUUUAGCAAUUUGGUAUAUGGAUGAUGGCAACCUAGAUAAUAGGUACAAAUAUCAUCUCAAUUCCAGUUUUGCUACUUUUUGUUUCAGCUAUAAAGAAUGUAAUCUGUUGGCUGAAGCUCUAAAAUCAAAUUUUGGAGUGGAGGCAAGAGUACACAAGAGUACCAUGCGAGGUAAAGAAUACUAUCGACUUUACAUAGUUGCUAGUUCAAUGAAGCGUUUUGUCAAAACGAUAAAAAACUUCAUCGUUCCUUGUAUGCAAUACAAGGUCUCGUGUGAGAAAACUUUGUAGUCAUUACCAGCAGCUGCGGUAAUACGUAGGAUGCAAGCGUUACCCGGAUUUAUUGGGCGUAAAGUGUUUCGUAGGCGCCUUGGAAAGUCAAAUUUCAAAUACUUUGGCUCAACCAAAGAAAGGGGUUUGAUACUUCCAGGGUUGGAUUACCUAGGGGUUACCGGAACUACUGGUGUAGGAGUUAAAUCCGUUGAUAUCAGUAGGAACACCAAGGGCGAAGGCAGGUAACUGGGGGUAUAUCGACGCUGAGGAACGAAAGCUAGGGGAGCGAAAGGGAUUAGAGACCCCUGUAGUCCUAUGCAGUAAACUAUCCUCGCUACCCCGGUGGGAGCAAUCUUGUCGGGGGAAGCUAACGCAAUAAGCGAGGCGCCUGGGGAGUACGAACGCAAGUUUAAAACUCAAAGGAAUUGACGGGGACCCGCACAACCAGUGGAGCAUGUGGUUUAAUUCGAAACGAACCGAAGAACCUUACCUAGGUUUGACAUGCUACCGUUUUACGCUUUUAGAAAUAAGAGCGGAUCUGAAAUUUUUUGGAUGGUAGCACAGGUGUUGCAUGGCCGUCGUCAGCUCGUGCCGUAGGGUGUUCCCUUCAGUGGGGUAACGAGCGCAACCCCUGUCCUGUGUUAAAUAUUCACAGGAGACUGCUCGCCUUUGGCGAGAGGAAGUGGGGACGACGUCAGGUCAGCAUGGCCCUUAUACCUAGGGCAACACACAUACUACAAUGGAGCCGACAAUGGGUUGCCAAGCCGCAAGGCGGAGCUAAUCCCAAAAACGGCUUCUCAGUGGGGAUUGAAGGCUGCAACUCGCCUUCAUGAACGUGGAAUUGGUAGUAAUCGGCAGUCAGCUAUAUGCCGGUGAAUACGUUCUCGGGUCUUGUACACAAUCGUCCGUAUUUACGGACAAAAAGCGCGCUGGGCAGUUUAACAAGCAAGGUGGUUUGAAUCCAUCUUAAUAGCCAAAAAAAUUUAGCAGAAGCAUUCUGGCGACAGACGCUUCGGAGGGCUUGAGGCAA